rnacentral:rRNA from 1 species
GUGGGGAAUAUUGGACAAUGGGCGAAAGCCUGAUCCAGCCAUGCCGCGUGUGUGAAGAAGGCCUUAGGGUUGUAAAGCACUUUCAGUGGGGAAGAAAGCCUGAGACCUAAUACGUUUCAGGAAGGACAUCACCCACAGAAGAAGCACCGGCUAACUCCGUGCCAGCAGCCGCGGUAAUACGGAGGGUGCGAGCGUUAAUCGGAAUUACUGGGCGUAAAGGGCGCGUAGGCGGUCUGUUAAGCCAGAUGUGAAAGCCCCGGGCUUAACCUGGGAACAGCAUUUGGAACUGGCAGACUUGAGUGCAGGAGAGGAAGGUAGAAUUCCAGGUGUAGCGGUGAAAUGCGUAGAGAUCUGGAGGAAUACCAGUGGCGAAGGCGGCCUUCUGGACUGACACUGACGCUGAGGCGCGAAAGCGUGGGGAGCAAACAGGAUUAGAAACCCUAGUAGUCC